AUUGAACGCUGGCGGCAUGCCUUACACAUGCAAGUCGAACGGUAACGCGGGGCAACCUGGCGACGAGUGGCGAACGGGUGAGUAAUGCAUCGGAACGUGCCCAGUAGUGGGGGAUAGCCCGGCGAAAGCCGGAUUAAUACCGCAUACGACCUACGGGUGAAAGCGGGGGACCGUAAGGCCUCGCGCUAUUGGAGCGGCCGAUGUCAGAUUAGGUUGUUGGUGGGGUAAAAGCUUACCAAGCCGACGAUCUGUAGCUGGUCUGAGAGGACGACCAGCCACACGGGGACUGAGACACGGCCCAGACUCCUACGGGAGGCAGCAGUGGGGAAUUUUGGACAAUGGGGGCAACCCUGAUCCAGCCAUGCCGCGUGCGGGAAGAAGGCCUUCGGGUUGUAAACCGCUUUUGUCAGGGAAGAAACGCUCUGGGCUAAUACCCCGGGGUAAUGACGGUACCUGAAGAAUAAGCACCGGCUAACUACGUGCCAGCCGCCGCAGUAAUAC
rnacentral:rRNA from 1 species